CAUUUGUGUGCAUCUGUUACUAAAGGAUUGUUCACACUUCCGAACUAAAUUGCUCAUUCACGGUGCAUCAAGUGACGAUGUGCACAAAUGAGCCACAAGUAGGUAAUCAUUUCUGAUCAAACCUACAUGUUACCUGCAAGUUCAGAUACAAAAAUCAUUGCUCUGCUCAAAAUGCAACUGCCAUUCCACCUGGGUGACGCAGGGUGCACCUGACCAGUUUUGCUGAAAACCCAGCUCCAUUAGAGCGUAUAAUCAAGUGUUGUUGACCCCCACAGGUACUUUAUAAAAGUACUUUAAUUCUUUUUCAAAAUUCUGUUUCCCAUCAACAGGUUGUGACGUUCCAUCUUUAUAGCCCGUGCACUGAUUCCAGAGGUGAAAUAGGACAAUUCAUAAAAGCACCCAUCCCUGAGAUCACUGAAGCUACCAACAUGAACUUGACGCAACUCCAGGAGGCAGUGGAAGACAGGAGGGCCUGGUGUGCUCUGAUCCAUGGGGCCACGAAGAGUCAGCCACGACUUCACAACUAAACAACAGCAACAAUCCCUGAGAUCUUUGGAUAUAGGGCAGCCUAUAAUUAUUCACAUACAUACAUAAGUAUAUCUUGCCAUUGGCUAUAUUUUUGAGCAUGCAAACGAGCCAUGUCUAUCGUACACAAUGUUGCGUCUCAAAAUUCGAGCAAGUGCAUUUGUAGCGCAUGCUCUUGUCCAGUAGAGGGCGCUGCUUGGAUGUGUAUGUCAUUUCCUGCUGUUUGUACAGAAUGAAACGAUACAAUUGAAUGUUCUUUGAAAUCUGCUUCCAGACAUUUUUCUUUAAAAAAAGGCUCAUUAGUGUGAAAUUCCAUUCCAAAGAGCAUAGCCUAGCUCUGAAAACUUCAAUACCAGCAUAAAUUCCAGCUCAGCUGUAUUAAGCAAAGCACCUAACAAGUUUAAAUUCCAGAACUCCCUUGCAGCUUGGGGCUAGUUGUCGCCUGUGCCUGCCAGUAUAAAGGUAACUUCAGAGUAAUACAACUCCCGUCCCCCUGGGGCACGCAUAAAAAUGAGGUGUGCAUCUCAAGAGGCCUUUUCCUGUGAAUCAACUAAAAUAAUUCAAACAAGGAGAUAGGAAUAUAUUAUUGAUAAGAGUUUUGUGCAGCUUUUUGUUUUGCUUUGUGAUGUCUUGAUACUCCCUCCUCCUGCGCAUUCUUGUCGAAGGCAUUGAACAGAGAUGAACUCGUGGAUUCUUCCCUGCACCCCACAAAGUUUCAGGGGUGCUCCCUCUUAAUUUUAGUCCAGUCCUGGGGAUUAUUCCUGGAGACAGAAGAAAACAGGGAGUCCACUGUUAUUUUCGCUGCAUAGAGAACUAUAGCCUGAAACAUGUGGAAGAUACCCAUUUGGCUUUUAUUAUUAUGGUUUUAUUAAUUGGUUUUAGCAUUUCUUAUUGUGAGGUGCUCUUUUAGCUGAAGAAAAAAAUGCUCCAAGUUAUCAUCUAUAUUGGAGGCAUUUUGUUCUAAUAACAACUCCUUUUUCUUCCACAGGAACUUUCCAAAUC
rnacentral:lncRNA from 1 species